rnacentral:lncRNA from 1 species
UCAGAACCAACCACUUGCCACUGGUUCGGAAUUAAUCCAUCUAUUGGCCCGCCUGCAUAAUGUGGUGGAUUAGCUUGUGGAAUAAAUCCCUCAGUGGGUGGUCAAAAUGGCUGCCAGAAGAGCCAUAACUCCGUUGGAACACCUCAUCAUGGCUGGCUCCAUCAUGGUAACUCUUCUUAGUUUCCUCAACUGGAGCUUCUCCCUCCUCAGUAGUUUCCUUCUUAGCUGCUGCAAAUUUUGUUGACUUUCCUUCACCAGAAUAUGCACUGCUACCACAUGAGGGUUAGGAAUUAGUGCAAAAGCAUGAUGCAUCACACCCAAAGCAUGAAGCUCGAUUGCUGUUUAAAUCCCCACUAAGACCAGAUGAAUGCUGUCAUCUCAAAGGCAUUCUGUGCAACGCUUAAAGAAGGAAAAACAUCAGAAGGAGCUGCUCCUCU